rnacentral:rRNA from 1 species
AUGGUUGUGGCGGAGGCCGGCGACGAGAUGAGCCUGUCGAACAUGGUGCUGGGGUUCUACGAGGAGGCCGACCGGGAGCGGUGGCCCGAGGACGAAACCUCCGUCGGCGACGGCGACUGCAGCGACGACGAGAGGGCCGGUGGUGGCGCCGCCGCCGAGAGCAGCGCGUUCUGGGCGGAGCAGCUCUCGCAUUUGCAUGAGGUACUGGGCAAGACGAGCGCGGCGGAGAGCCGGAUCCGGGCGGACACGGAGGAGGCCGUGAGGCAGGCGCGCUCCGCCACCGCGGCAGCAGGCGUCUGCUCUUGCGCGACCCGCGCGACGGCCGGCGGCGGGUGCCGGGGCUGCACGCUCCGGUCGGUCGCGGGGCGGCUGCGCGACGCCGGGUACGACAGCGCCGUGUGCCGGUCCAGGUGGGCGCGCUCGCCGGAGUUCCCCGCGGGGGAGCACAGCUACGUGGACGUAGUGGUGCCGACGAGGAGCGGCAGGGCGAUGCGGGUGGUGGUGGAGCCCAGCUUCCGGGCCGAGUUCGCCAUGGCGCGCGGCGGCGCCGGGUACGGCGCGCUGGUGGCGGCGCUGCCGGAGGCGUUCGUGGGCAGGGCGGAGAAGCCGCGGGCCGUGGUCGGGGCCAUGUGCGCCGCCGCGAAGCGGUGCGCGCGCGAGAGCAGCCUGCACAUGGCGCCCUGGAGGAAGCGCCGGUACAUGGAGGCCAAGUGGCUCGGCACGCCGGACCGCCUCUCGCCGGCCGCGGGCGCCGGUUCCCCCGUGGCGGCCGGCUCCCCGGAGAGCGAGAAGCAGCGCAGGUUCAGGGCCUCCAUGCUGACGCUCGACUACGGCGGCCGGACCGCCGUGGAGGUCGCGUGA